rnacentral:rRNA from 1 species
UACGUAGGGUGCAAGCGUUAAUCGGAAUUACUGGGCGUAAAGCAUGCGCAGGCGGCUUUGCAAGACAGAUGUGAAAUCCCCGGGCUCAACCUGGGAACUGCAUUUGUGACUGCAUGGCUAGAGUGCGGCAGAGGGGGAUGGAAUUCCGCGUGUAGCAGUGAAAUGCGUAGAUAUGCGGAGGAACACCGAUGGCGAAGGCGGCAUCCUGGACCAAUUCUGACGCUGAGUGAGCGAAAGCCAGGGGAGCAAACGGG